GUGACCUCGGAUCAGGUAGGGAUACCCGCUGAACUUAAUCAUAUCAGUAGGGCGGA
rnacentral:rRNA from 1 species